rnacentral:rRNA from 1 species
UACAGAGGGUGCAAGCGUUGUUCGGAAUUAUUGGGCGUAAAGGGCGCGUAGGCGGUGCUAUAAGUCUGUGGUGAAAUCUCUGGGCUCAACUCAGAGUCUGCCAUAGAAACUGUAGUGCUAGAGUGUGGGAGAGGUGAGUGGAAUUCCCGGUGUAGCGGUGAAAUGCGUAGAUAUCGUUUGGAACGCCGAUGGUGAAAACAGGUCGCUGGGGCUGUGCUGACGCUGAGACACGAAAGCCAGGGGAGCGAACGGG